CAAGUACGCCGAGCGGUCGCGGGCGUGCUUGCACGCCUGAGGAAAGUCCGCGCUCCAUAGGGCAGCGUGCCGGAUAACAUCCGGGCCGGGUGACCGGGGGAAUAGGGCCACAGAGAAGUGCAUUGCCGGUGGCAACACCGGCGAGGGUGAAACGGUGCGGUAAGAGCGCACCGGCGCGCGCAGUAAUGGGCGCGGCCAGGCAACCCCCACGCGGAGCAAGGCCAAGCAGGGACGACGUGCCGGCCCGGCGCGCCUGAGUCCCGGGUAGGCUGCAUGAGGCGGGCAGCAAUGCCAGUCCCAGAUAGAUGAUCGCUGGCGCGGGUGAAGCGGCUUGCCGCAACGCCUGCGCAACAGAACGCGGCUUAUAGGCGAACUUGGACG
rnacentral:RNase_P_RNA from 1 species